CCGCUGUCUGCUGUCUCAGUAAACAAUGUAUAUGCAGGUAUGCUGGCAAUUAUGAAACGAAUUACAGCUAAAGGCUUUACUGCACAUACGAUCGGCUAAUUGCAUAUUUCGGAAGUUCUAUAAAGGCAUUGAAGGUGGACGAAUUCUAACGGUGUCCAUUAAUUAACCUCUAAAAGGCAAUGCCAGCCACCGAGAACAAUCUCUGAACUGAACUGUUGCCGAGCAGCCAACUAACUGGAUUAGU